UUUUCUUUAUUCUCUAACUAACUAUCUAUCAUCUAUCUAUCUAUCUAUUCCAGGAUAUUACCCUUGGCUUCUCGUCGCCCUCUCCUGGAUAAAACUGUGAAUAGCCAUGUACAUCCACGCUACCUGAAAGAAGACAGCUUUCUGAAUCCAACGAUACCAGUUAUGUGCACGUCCGACCUCCGCUUCAAAAGAUACGGCCAGACAUCCACGCUACCUGAAAGAAGACAGAUUUCUGAAUCCAACGAUACCACUUAUGUGCACGUCGGACCUCCGCUUCAAAAGAUACGGCCAGGUAAGCUUCGGCCAAUCAGAUCGCAUAUGCUAAUGAGGGUCGAAUUAAU